AGCGAACUCUGGCGGCAGGCUUAACACAUGCAAGUCGAACGCCCCUCAAGGGGUGUGGUAGACGGGUGAGUAACACGUGGGAACGUACCCUUUGGUUCGGAGUUACUUGGGGAAACUCAAGCUAAUACCGGAUAAGCCCGUAUGGGGAAAGUUUUACUGCCGAGGGAUCGGCCCGCGUCUGAGUAGCUAGUUGGUGUGGUAAAGGCUCACCAAGGCGACGAUCAGUAGCAGGUCUGAGAGGAUGAUCAGCCACACUGGGACUGAGACACGGCCCAGACUCCUACGGGAGGCAGCAGUGGGGAAUAUUGGACAAUGGGGGCAACCCUGAUCCAGCCAUGCCGCGUGAGUGAUGAAGGCCUUAGGGUUGUAAAGCUCUUUUACCCGGGACGAUAAUGACUGUACCGGGAGAAUAAGCCCCGGCUAACUUCGUGCCAGCCGCCGCAGUAA
rnacentral:rRNA from 1 species